rnacentral:rRNA from 1 species
AGUUUGAUUAUGGCUCAGAUGAACGCUGGCGGCAGGCCUAACACAUGCAAGUCGAACGGUAACAGGAAGAAGCUUGCGUCUUUGCUGACGAGUGGCGGACGGGUGAGUAAUGUCUGGGAAACUGCCUGAUGGAGGGGGAUAACUACUGGAAACGGUAGCUAAUACCGCAUAACGUCGCAAGACCAAAAAGGGGGACCUUCGGGCCUCUUGCCAUCGGAUGUGCCCAGAUGGGAUUAGCUAGUAGGUGGGGUAACGGCUCACCUAGGCGACGAUCCCUAGCUGGUCUGAGAGGAUGACCCAGCCACACUGGAACUGAGACACGGUCCAGACUCCUACGGGAGGCAGCAGUGGGGAAUAUUGCACAAUGGGCGCAAGCCUGAUGCAGCCAUGCCGCCGUGUAUGAAGAAGGCCUUCGGGUUGUAAAGUACUUUCAGCGGGGAGGAAGGGAGUAAAGUUAAUACCUUUGCUCAUUGACGUUACCCGCAGAAGAAGCACCGGCUAACUCCGUGCCAGCCGCCGC